UACGUAGGGGGCGAGCGUUGUCCGGAGUUACUGGGCGUAAAGCGCACGCAGGCGGUCUGCUAAGUUUGGAGUGACAGUUGGUGGCUUAACUGCCAAAGUGCUUCGAAAACUGACAGACUUGAGGGCUUCAGAGGGACACGGAAUUCCCGGUGUAGCGGUGAAAUGCGCAGAUAUCGGGAAGAACACCCGUGGCGAAGGCGGCACUCUGGGACGGUACUGACGCUGAGACGCGGAAGCGUGGGGAGCGAACAGG
rnacentral:rRNA from 1 species